AUGUGCUGCCUGGGUAGCGCACUAGUCCAUUCAGCUGCUUCUUGUUAUUGCUCCCAUUCUCGUUGCUUGGGAGCAGAUCUCCCUUAAUUAAACUGAACUCGGUAACCCUCUUCAAUGGAAUGGGUAAGUUUAUUUUCUUUUGAACAUUAAAUAAUGCAUCUUGUCAGAUAUGAAAUACUCUGAAGUCAGUUUUUGUCCAUACAUGACUUUUGAUUGCGAAUUUUAGUCCAUGCUAUGUGCUCCAUGUUAGUUCAUAUGUGAUGCUACUAAACUUUAACAUGUUAGUUCAUUUGGACUAACAUGUUAGUCCAUGUUAGUUCAUGUGUCAUGCUAUUGCAAAUUAGAAAUGAAGUAGCGUGUCUCCAUACCUCCACUGCCAUAUGACCACCUGGCUAGGCUGGCUUUGCCAUCCUAGUCCAAUAUAUUAAUUGGUCAAGUUAGAUCAUACUUUAACCAGGUUUGCAACUUGUUUAUUUAAAGCCAUAGAUGUCUUUGUUCUUCAUAUAGUGAUAUUAUAUGGGGAUGGUUGAAACAAAGAAAUAUAUAGGUGUUAGAGAGAUUUCCUCUCCUCAUCAAAACUGAUUGUAUAACUGCACAUCAAUAGCAUUUGAUUUCUUGUAAUCAUAGCAUUCAAUAGUGUUUAUAGCAUUUGUAAC
rnacentral:lncRNA from 1 species